AUGUGCAGGGUGAAGACUCUGCCACAUCGUGUCAGUUCUCUAAACCUUACACGUCGAGGUUUGGUAGGACAUAUAUCUCCUUCACUUGGGAACCUAUCAUUCCUACAUUCUCUAGCCCUGGUGGAAAACACACUCACUGGGGAGAUUCCACCCUCCCUUGGUCACCUGCGUCGUCUCCAAACUCUCCGCUUGAGAAAGAACAUGCUACAAGGAAGGAUACCAAGUUUUGCAAACUGCUCAAAGCUCAGGGUGCUGGAUGUUUCAUACAACAAUCUAGUUGGCCAAUUUCCUACUGAGUUGCCUCCUCGCCUUCAGGUGCUGCGUGUUGGGACUAAUAACCUUACUGUCACCAUCCCAACUUCUCCUGUCAAUAUAACGAAACUAACCACCAUUAGCUGCCUGAAUAAUCAAAUCAAAGGAAAUAUCCCAAGUGAGUUUGCAGAUCUGCCCAGCUUGCAGUACCUGUAUGCAGGUGGCAAUCAGCUGGCAGGCAGCUUUCCACAAGCCAUCUUGAAUCUUUCUACUCUUAUUGACCUACCCUGA
rnacentral:rRNA from 1 species